AACAAACGCUGGCGGCGUGCCUAAUACAUGCAAGUCGAACGAGGAAAGCUUUCGGGUGAGUACUAGUGGCGCACGGGUGAGGAAUAUAUGGGUAAUCUGCCCUCGAGUUGGGGAUAACCAGUCGAAAGACUGGCUAAUACCGAAUAAGACCACAGGAUCUGCGGAUCUAGGGGUUAAGGGUUUUUCGCUUGAGGAUGAGCCCAUACGAGAUUAGCUAGUUGGUGAGGUAAUGGCUCACCAAGGCAACGAUCUCUAACUGGUCUUAGAGGAUGAUCAGUCACACUGGAACUGAGACACGGUCCAGACUCCUACGGGAGGCAGCAGUAGGGAAUAUUGCACAAUGGGGGAAACCCUGAUGCAGCGACGCCGCGUGAGUGAUGAAGGCCUUCGGGUCGUAAAGCUCUGUCGUAUGGGACUAACACAAUGAAGGUACCAUGCAAGAAAGGAUCGGCUAACUUCGUGCCAGCAGCCGCAGUAA
rnacentral:rRNA from 1 species